UGGGGAAUAUUGGACAAUGGGCGAAAGCCUGAUCCAGCCAUGCCGCGUGUGUGAAGAAGGUCUUCGGAUUGUAAAGCACUUUAAGUUGGGAGGAAGGGCAGUAAGCGAAUACCUUGCUGUUUUGACGUUACCGACAGAAUAAGCACCGGCUAACUCUGUGCCAGCAGCCGCGGUAAUACAGAGGGUGCAAGCGUUAAUCGGAAUUACUGGGCGUAAAGCGCGCGUAGGUGGUUCGUUAAGUUGAAUGUGAAAGCCCCGGGCUCAACCUGGGAACUGCAUCCCAAACUGGCGAGCUAGAGUAGGGCAGAGGGUGGUGGACUUUCCUGUGUAGCGGUGAAAUGCGUAGAUAUAGGAAGGAACACCAGUGGCGAAGGCGACCACCUGGGCUCAUACUGACACUGAGGUGCGAAAGCGUGGGGAGCAAACAGG
rnacentral:rRNA from 1 species